GGAUUAACAUUUGGAAACAGAUGCUAAUACCGCAUAACAACAAAAGCCACAUGGCUUUUGUAUGAAAGAUGGCUUUGGCUAUCUCUCUGUGGAUGGACCUGCGGUGCAUUAGCUAGUUGGUAAGGUAACGGCUUACCAAGGCAAUGAUGCAUAGCCGAGUUGAGAGACUGAUCGGCCACAAUGGAACUGAGACACGGUCCAUACUCCUACGGGAGGCAGCAGUAGGGAAUCUUCCACAAUGGGCGCAAGCCUGAUGGAGCAACACCGCGUGAGUGAAGAAGGGUUUCGGCUCGUAAAGCUCUGUUGUUGGAGAAGAACGUGCGUGAGAGUAACUGUUCACGCAGUGACGGUAUCCAACCAGAAAGUCACGGCUAACUUCGUGCCAGCAGCCGCGGUAAUACGUAGGUGGCAAGCGUUAUCUGGAUUUAUUGGGCGUAAAGCGAGCGCAGGCGGUUGCUUAGGUUUGAUGUGAAAGCCUUCGGCUUAACCGAAGAAGUGCAUUGGAAACCGGGCGACUUGAGUGCAGAAGAGGACAGUGGAACUCCAUGUGUAGCGGUGGAAUGCGUAGAUAUAUGGAAGAACACCAGUGGCGAAGGCGGCUGUCUGGUCUGCAACUGACGCUGAGGCUCGAAAGCAUGGGUAGCGAACAGGAUUAGAUACCCUGGUAGUCCAUGCCGUAAACGAUGAGUGCUAGGUGUUGGAGGGUUUCCGCCCUUCAGUGCCGGAGCUAACGCAUUAAGCACUCCGCCUGGGGAGUACGACCGCAAGGUUGAAACUCAAAGGAAUUAACGGGGGCCCGCACAAGCGGUGGAGCAUGUGGUUUAAUUCGAAGCUACGCGAAGAACCUUACCAGGUCUUGACAUCUUGCGCUAACCUUAGAGAUAAGGCGUUCCCUUCGGGGACGCAAUGACAGGUGGUGCAUGGUCGUCGCCAGCUCGUGUCGUGAGAUGUUGGGUUAAGUCCCGCAACGAGCGCAACCCUUGUUACUAGUUGCCAGCAUUAAGUUGGGCACUCUAGUGAGACUGCCGGUGACAAACCGGAGGAAGGUGGGGACGACGUCAGAUCAUCAUGCCCCUUAUGACCUGGGCUACACACGUGCUACAAUGGACGGUACAACGAGUCGCAAGCUCGCGAGAGUAAGCUAAUCUCUUAAAGCCGUUCUCAGUUCGGACUGUAGGCUGCAACUCGCCUACACGAAGUCGGAAUCGCUAGUAAUCGCGGAUCAGCAUGCCGCGGUGAAUACGUUCCCGGGCCUUGCACACACCGCCCGUCA
rnacentral:rRNA from 1 species